rnacentral:rRNA from 1 species
GACGAACGCUGGCGGCGUGCUUAACACAUGCAAGUCGAACGGUGAAGCGCCUUCCUUUUUGGUGGGUGUGGAUGAGUGGCGAACGGGUGAGUAACACGUGAGUAACCUGCCCCCUUCUUCUGGAUAACCGCAUGAAAGUGUGGCUAAUACGGGAUAUUCUGGGUCUGUCGCAUGAUGGGUCUGGGAAGGAUAUUGUUUCGGUGGGGGAUGGGCUCGCGGCCUAUCAGCUUGUUGGUGGGGUGAUGGCCUACCAAGGCGGUGACGGGUAGCCGGCCUGAGAGGGUGGACGGUCACACUGGGACUGAGACACGGCCCAGACUCCUACGGGAGGCAGCAGUGGGGAAUAUUGCACAAUGGGCGCAAGCCUGAUGCAGCGACGCCGCGUGAGGGAUGGAGGCCUUCGGGUUGUGAACCUCUUUCGCCAGUGAAGCAGGCCUGCCUCGUUUGUGGGUGGGUUGACGGUAGCUGGAUAAGAAGCGCCGGCUAACUACGUG